AGUGGCGGACGGGUGAGUAACGCGUGGGUAACCUGCCCUGUACAGGGGGAGUAACAGCUGGAAACGGCUGCUAAUACCGCAUAAGCGCACGAGGAGACAUCUCCUUGUGUGAAAAACUCCGGUGGUACAGGAUGGGCCCGCGUCUGAUUAGCUGGUUGGCAGGGUAACGGCCUACCAAGGCAACGAUCAGUAGCCGGUCUGAGAGGAUGAACGGCCACAUUGGAACUGAGACACGGUCCAAACUCCUACGGGAGGCAGCAUG
rnacentral:rRNA from 1 species